GAUGAACGCUGGCGGCGUGCCUAAUACAUGCAAGUCGAGCGAAUGGAUUAAGAGCUUGCUCUUAUGAAGUUAGCGGCGGACGGGUGAGUAACACGUGGGUAACCUGCCCAUAAGACUGGGAUAACUCCGGGAAACCGGGGCUAAUACCGGAUAACAUUUUGCAUCGCUCGGCUCGAACUUGAAAGGCGGCGUCGGCUGUCAGUUAUGGAUGGACCGUGGUCGCAUUAGCUAGUUGGUGAGGUAACGGCUCACCAAGGCAACGAUGCGUAGCCGAACUGAGAGGGUGAUCGACCACACUGGGACUGAGACACGGACCAGACUCCUACGGGAGGCAGCAGUAGGGAAUCUUCCGCAAUGGACGAAAGUCUGACGGAGCAACGCCGCGUGAGUGAUGAAGGCUUUCGGGUCGUAAAACUCUGUUGUUAGGGAAGAACAAGUGCUAGUUGAAUAAGCUGGCACCUUGACGGUACCUAACCAGAAAGCCACGGCUAACUACGUGCCAGCCGCCGCGGUAA
rnacentral:rRNA from 1 species